rnacentral:rRNA from 1 species
UACAAAGGGGGCUAGCGUUGCUCGGAAUUACUGGGCGUAAAGCGCACGUAGGCGGUCUUUUAAGUCGGUGGUGAAAUCCUGGAGCUCAACUCCAGAACUGCCUUCGAUACUGGAAGACUUGAGUCCGGGAGAGGUGAGUGGAACUGCGAGUGUAGAGGUGAAAUUCGUAGAUAUUCGCAAGAACACCAGUGGCGAAGGCGGCUCACUGGCCCGGUACUGACGCUGAGGUGCGAAAGCGUGGGGAGCAAACAGG